GUUCGCGGGAUCUUGAGUUAAGAAGAGGAGUGAGAAGAGAUCGGGCAGCGUGCAGUCACGCCCCGUUAAAUUUGCCUUAGUGCAGGGAAUAGGCUCUCUUUGUUUGGUAGUAAUCUCAAAGUCAUCUGUUGUUUCUGUAUUUCAAUCAUAAAAACCAAAAUACCGAAUGAUGUGUAGUUGCUUACUUUCAUGACUUGUAGCUUGAUGCUUGGAGCUUGGUCUAGCCAUAAUAGUUUACUUUCAUACUUCUUCAAAGCAAAACAAAUUCUACAUCAUGCCAUGGAAAAUCAAGCAUGAUCCAUGUCUAGUGAUACAGUAGAUCAGCAGCCGAACAAGAAUGUUCAGCAGAGCAGCUCAGCAGCCAGUGAGAAGCAAUUCAGAAUCCCAAACUAAAGCUUAAGCUAAUAUCAAACGGGGAACCAAGCCAUAUCUUUACAAACAGAAUCUUAGAGACCAAGUUAAAGAUCUUUUUUGAUUUGUACUUGCAUGAUUAAUAUACAUAGGUAUUAGAUCAGAAGUGCAACAACGGUGAAACCAUAUAGCUAGGAUUGUACACUAACCAGGAAAAAAAACAUGAUUAGACUCGUUAGAGCAUGAACCAAGUUCCAUAUUUGAGCAUGUUGGAAUGAUAUAUUCUGCACUCCUCAGCAAUCCUUUGUCCCCUUAUCUGGCCAUAUUUUGAGCAAAACUUAUAUGAAUAAUGCAGGUGUAUUAAUAAGGAAGCACAAGAACCAAACCAUGUAAGGUAAUACAUAGAAUUUUAUCAGUACCGGUACUACUGUUGGGAAAGACAUAAGAAACACCUUCAAGGAUAGUAUUCUUGAAAUUUUUUAACAAUUUUUUUUUUUACAAAUACUAGUAGCAAGAAUCAAAUUACAGCAUGGUCGAGUAUAUCAACUGAUCUCUACACUCUCCAAGGUUCCAAGAAUGGCUGUUACAAUCUCUUUGGCUGUUUUGGAAGUCACAAUCCAGCAAAACUUCUCAAUUGGAUUUGCAGCCUCAGCUAGUUGACCAACCCUGAACAUAAUGAAAAACCAGUGAAAGAGUGAAU
rnacentral:lncRNA from 1 species